UGGGGAAUUUUGGACAAUGGGCGAAAGCCUGAUCCAGCCAUGUCGCGUGAGUGAAGAAGGCCUUCGGGUUGUAAAGCUCUUUUAGUCGGAAAGAAAGAGUUGCAAUGAAUAAUUGUGAUUUAUGACGGUACCGACAGAAAAAGCACCGGCUAACUACGUGCCAGCAGCCGCGGUAAUACGUAGGGUGCGAGCGUUAAUCGGAAUUACUGGGCGUAAAGGGUGCGCAGGCGGUCUUGCAAGUCAGAUGUGAAAGCCCCGGGCUUAACCUGGGAAUUGCGUUUGAAACUACAAGGCUAGAGUGCAGCAGAGGGGAGUGGAAUUCCAUGUGUAGCAGUGAAAUGCGUAGAGAUGUGGAAGAACACCGAUGGCGAAGGCAGCUCCCUGGGUUGACACUGACGCUCAUGCACGAAAGCGUGGGGAGCAAACA
rnacentral:rRNA from 1 species